rnacentral:rRNA from 1 species
GAUGAACGCUGGCGGCGUGCUUAACACAUGCAAGUCGAACGAAGCACCUUGAUUUGCUUCUUCGGAUGAAGAUCUUGGUGACUGAGUGGCGGACGGGUGAGUAACGCGUGGGUAACCUGCCUCAUACAGGGGGAUAACAGUUAGAAAUGACUGCUAAUACCGCAUAAGACCACAGCACCGCAUGGUGCAGGGGUAAAAACUCCGGUGGUAUGAGAUGGACCCGCGUCUGAUUAGGUAGUUGGUGGGGUAACGGCCUACCAAGCCGACGAUCAGUAGCCGACCUGAGAGGGUGACCGGCCACAUUGGGACUGAGACACGGCCCAAACUCCUACGGGAGGCAGCAGUGGGGAAUAUUGUACAAUGGGGGAAACCCUGAUGCAGCGACGCCGCGUGAGCGAUGAAGUAUUUCGGUAUGUAAAGCUCUAUCAGCAGGGAAGAAAAUGACGGUACCUGACGAAGAAGCACCGGCUAAAUACGUG